GAUGAAGAACGUAGUGAAAUGCGAUAAUUAAUGUGAAUUGCAGAAUUCAGUGAAUCAUCGAGUCUUUGAACGCACAUUUCGCCCCCUGGUAUUCCGGGGGGCAUGCCUGUCCGAGCGUCAUUGCUGCCCUCAAGCACGGCUUGUGUGUUGGGCUUCCGUCCCUGGCAACGGGGACGGGCCCAAAAGGCAGUGGCGGCACCAUGUCUGGUCCUCGAGCGUAUGGGGCUUUGUCACCCGCUCCCGUAGGUCCAGCUGGCAGCUAGCCUCGCAACCAAUCUUUUUAACCAGGUUGACCUCGGAUCAGGUAGGGAUACCCGCUGAACUUAAGCAUAUCAAUAAGCGGAGGA
rnacentral:misc_RNA from 1 species